AGCGAACGCUGGCGGCAGGCCUAACACAUGCAAGUCGAACGAACCUUUCGGGGUUAGUGGCGGACGGGUGAGGAACACGUGGGAACGGUCCGUUAGGUUCGGAAUAACUCAGGGACACUUGGGCUAAUACCGAAUGUGCCCUUCGGGGGAAAGAUUAAUCGCCUUUAGAGCGGCCCGCGUCUGAUUAGCUAGUUGGUUGAGGUAAUGGCUCACCAAGGCGACGAUCAGUAGCUGGUCUGAGAGGAUGAUCAGACACAUUGGGACUGAGACACGGCCCAAACUCCUACGGGAUGCAGCAGUGGGGAAUCCUGCGCAAUGGGCGAAAGCCUGACGCAGCCAUGCCGCGUGAAUGAUGAAGGUCUUAGGAUUGUAAAAUUCUUUCACCGGGGACGAUAAUGACGGUACCCGGAGAAUAAGCCCCGGCUAACUUCGUG
rnacentral:rRNA from 1 species